AAUAAGUAUAGUGUUACACUAUUUACGUUCAACGUUUGACCAUUUGUCUUAUUUGAAUUUUUUUAUGAUUAGUAUUUUUAUUGCUAUUAGAUAGAUUUAUGUAUAACUAAUUUUUUUAAAUUUUUUUAUAAAUUUUUUAAAUAAGAUGGAUAGUCAAACGUUGGACACGGAUAUCCAUGGCUAUAUUUAUU
rnacentral:pre_miRNA from 1 species